rnacentral:rRNA from 1 species
GUUUCCGUAGGUGAACCUGCGGAAGGAUCAUUACCGAGUUGAUUCGAGCUCCGGCUCGACUCUCCCACCCUAUGUGUACCUACCUCUGUUGCUUUGGCGGGCCGCGGUCCUCCGCACCGGCCCCCGGUUCGGGGGCUGGCCAGCGCCCGCCAGAGGACCACAAAACUCCAGUCAGUGAACGUCGCAGUCUGAAAAACAAGUUAAUAAACUAAAACUUUCAACAACGGAUCUCUUGGUUCUGGCAUCGAUGAAGAACGCAGCGAAAUGCGAUAAGUAAUGUGAAUUGCAGAAUUCAGUGAAUCAUCGAAUCUUUGAACGCACAUUGCGCCCCUUGGUAUUCCGAGGGGCAUGCCUGUUCGAGCGUCAUUUCAACCCUCAAGCUCUGCUUGGUAUUGGGCUCCGUCCUCCACGGACGCGCCUCAAAGACCUCGGCGGUGGCGUCUUGCCUCAAGCGUAGUAGAAAACACCUCGCUUUGGAGCGCACGGCGUCGCCCGCCGGACGAACCUUUGAAUUUUUCUCAAGGUUGACCUCGGAUCAGGUAGGGAUACCCGCUGAACUUAA